rnacentral:tRNA from 1 species
GGGGAUUUAGCUCAGUGGCACAGCACGUGCCUGGGAAGCACGAGGUCCUGAGUUCAAUUUGAUCCCUG